rnacentral:lncRNA from 1 species
AUUCCCUUCUGUUCUCUCUGUGUGUAUAUUUAAUACUGUAGAUAAUAUGUUUUAUUUAAAAUUUCUAAUACACCAAAUUAAUUUGAAAUAGAAAAGGCUGGGGACUUCAUUCUCAUUUUUGUCAUUUGUUUAAUCAGUUUGGGAAAACAUUUUCCGUUGUUCCAUUGUAUGCAGUGUCUUGUCAGCAUGUACCUAUCUAGGAGAAAACGCUUUGUUUUCAGCGUUCUGUCUUUGUAACUGUUCUUUCCCACUGAUGGCUGAAGCUUUGUCCUGAGUACAAGAUGGUAUU